rnacentral:rRNA from 1 species
UACGAAGGGGGCUAGCGUUGUUCGGAAUCACUGGGCGUAAAGGGCGCGUAGGCGGUGUGUCAAGUCAGGCGUGAAAGCCCCGGGCUCAACCUGGGAACCGCGCUUGAGACUGGCACGCUCGAGUUCGGGAGAGGAUGGUGGAAUUCCCAGUGUAGAGGUGAAAUGCGUAGAUAUCUGGAGGAAUACCGGUGGCGAAGGCGGCAUCCUGGACCGGCAUUGACGCUGAGGAGCGAAAGCCAGGUGAGCAAACGGG